CGCGUAGGUGGUAGUGUAAGUCUGGGGUGGAAUGCCGGGGCUUAACCCUGGAAUUGCCUUGGAAACUGUAUUACUUGAGUCAGUGAGGGGAGGGUAGAAUUCCUGGUGUAGCGGUGAAAUGCGUAGAUAUCAGGAGGAAGGCCUGUGGCGAAGGCGGCCCUCUGGCGCUGGACUGACACUGAGGCGCGAAAGCGUGGGGAGCAAACAGGAUUAGAUACCCUGGUAGUCCACGCCCUAAACGGUGGGCACUAGGUGUAGGGCUCGUAAGGGUUCUGUGCCGAAGGGAAACCAUUAAGUGCCCCGCCUGGGGAGUACGGCCGCAAGGUUGAA
rnacentral:rRNA from 1 species